rnacentral:tRNA from 2 species
GCUGGUGUAGCUCAAUCUGGUAGAGCGUCUGACUUGUAAUCAGAUGGUUGCAGGUUCAAUUCCUGUCUCCAGCCCCA